rnacentral:rRNA from 1 species
AGUGAACGCUGGCGGUAGGCCUAACACAUGCAAGUCGAACGGCAGCACAGGAGAGCUUGCUCUCUGGGUGGCGAGUGGCGGACGGGUGAGGAAUACAUCGGAAUCUACUCUGUCGUGGGGGAUAACGUAGGGAAACUUACGCUAAUACCGCAUACGACCUACGGAUGAAAGCAGGGGAUCUUCGGACCUUGCGCGAUUGAAUGAGCCGAUGUCGGAUUAGCUAGUUGGCGGGGUAAAGGCCCACCAAGGCGACGAUCCGUAGCUGGUCUGAGAGGAUGAUCAGCCACACUGGAACUGAGACACGGUCCAGACUCCUACGGGAGGCAGCAGUGGGGAAUAGUGGACAAUGGGCGCAAGCCUGAUCCAGCCAUACCGCGUGGGUGAAGAAGGCCUUCGGGUUGUAAAGCCCUUUUGUUGGGAAAGAAAUCCAGCUGGCUAAUACCCGGUUGGGAUGACGGUACCCAAAGAAUAAGCACCGGCUAACUUCGUGCCAGCCGCCGCCGUAA